UACGGGGGGGGCAAGCGUUGUUCGGAAUUACUGGGCGUAAAGGGCUCGUAGGCGGCCAACUAAGUCAGACGUGAAAUCCCUCGGCUUAACCGGGGAACUGCAUCUGAUACUGGAUGGCUUGAGUUCGGGAGAGGGAUGCGGAAUUCCAGGUGUAGCGGUGAAAUGCGUAGAUAUCUGGAGGAACACCGGUGGCGAAGGCGGGUCUCUGGACAGUUCCUGACACUGAGGCACGAAGGCGUGGGGAGCAAACAGG
rnacentral:rRNA from 1 species